AAAUUAAACACGCAGUUUGGCUACAUAUCAAAGAAAGAAUACUGAGGUGCAAGUUGCAUCAGACAUAGCAGUUGCAACAUGCCAACAUAUAUAUUCAAACUAAACAGAAACAGUUUCAGACAGGUUACAACAACAUCAUGACCCAGAAGCCUGGAACAUCAUGAGCUGAUGAUGUUCACCAACGACCACCGCCGCCGCCUCCAGGCCCACCACCACCGCCGCCGCCAGGUCCACCACCACCACCGCCGCCACGUCCACCGCCGCCCCAUCCCCCACCGCCACCAGGUCCGCCCCCAGGUCCACCGCCGCCCCAUCCACCGCCGCCACCAGGUCCACCACCGCCACCAGGUCCACCACCGCCACCAGGUCCUCCGCCGAACAUUGGCCCACAGCAGCCCUCAAGCAGGCAGCAGCAGCACAGGAAAUAAGCACU
rnacentral:lncRNA from 1 species